rnacentral:misc_RNA from 1 species
CCGAAUGAGCUGCACCUUUCUUGUAGUAGACCAUUCAAUAGUCUGCCAUCAGGAUUCGAUGGGAACGUCGGAUGCUGUUGUGGGGUGGGGCCUUUGGUCUCCUAUGUCUUCUUUUAUUCACCACACAAAAACCUGUCAUCGUAUGGUGUUGUGCUUGAACACACAUAAUA